rnacentral:rRNA from 3 species
UGAGGAAUAUUGGUCAAUGGGUGCAAGCCUGAACCAGCCAUCCCGCGUGAAGGACGACUGCCCUAUGGGUUGUAAACUUCUUUUGUAUAGGGAUAAACCUACCCUCGUGAGGGUAGCUGAAGGUACUAUACGAAUAAGCACCGGCUAACUCCGUGCCAGCAGCCGCGGUAAUACGGAGGGUGCAAGCGUUAUCCGGAUUUAUUGGGUUUAAAGGGUCCGUAGGCGGACUUAUAAGUCAGUGGUGAAAGCCUGUCGCUUAACGAUAGAACUGCCAUUGAUACUGUAAGUCUUGAGUAUAUUUGAGGUAGCUGGAAUAAGUAGUGUAGCGGUGAAAUGCAUAGAUAUUACUUAGAACACCAAUUGCGAAGGCAGGUUACCAAGAUAUAACUGACGCUGAGGGACGAAAGCGUGGGGAGCGAACAGG